GACGAACGCUGGCGGCGUGCUUAACACAUGCAAGUCGAGCGGUAAGGCCCUUUCGGGGGUACACGAGCGGCGAACGGGUGAGUAACACGUGGGUGACCUGCCCUCAGCUCUGGGAUAAGCCCGGGAAACUGGGUCUAAUACUGGAUAUGACUCCAUGACGCAUGUUGUGGGGUGGAAAGCCUUGUGCGGCUGAGGAUGGGCCCGCGGCCUAUCAGCUUGUUGGUGGGGNGAUGGCCUACCAAGGCGACGACGGGUAGCCGGCCUGAGAGGGCGACCGGCCACACUGGGACUGAGACACGGCCCAGACUCCUACGGGAGGCAGCAGUGGGGAAUCUUGCGCAAUGGGCGAAAGCCUGACGCAGCGACGCCGCGUGAGGGAUGACGGCCCUCGGGUUGUAAACCUCUUUCGGCAGGGAAGAAGCCGCAAGGUGACGGUACCUGCAGAAGAAG
rnacentral:rRNA from 1 species